GACGAACGCUGGCGGCGUGCUUAACACAUGCAAGUCGAACGGAAAGGCCCUGCUUUUGUGGGGUGCUCGAGUGGCGAACGGGUGAGUAACACGUGAGUAACCUGCCCUUGACUUUGGGAUAACUUCAGGAAACUGGGGCCAAUACCGGAUAGGAGCUCCUGCUGCAUGGUGGGGGUUGGAAAGUUUCGGCGGUUGGGGAUGGACUCGCGGCUUAUCAGCUUGUUGGUGGGGUAGUGGCUUACCAAGGCUUUGACGGGUAGCCGGCCUGAGAGGGUGACCGGCCACAUUGGGACUGAGAUACGGCCCAGACUCCUACGGGAGGCAGCAGUGGGGAAUAUUGCACAAUGGGCUGAAGCCUGAUGCAGCAACGCCGCGUGCGGGAUGACGGCCUUCGGGUUGUAGACCGCUUUCGCCUGUGACGAAGCGUGAGUGACGGUAAUGGGUAAAGAAGCACCGGCUAACUACGUG
rnacentral:rRNA from 1 species